GACGAACGCUGGCGGCGUGCCUAAUACAUGCAAGUAGAACGCUGAAGAGAGGAGCUUGCUCUUCUUGGAUGAGUUGCGAACGGGUGAGUAACGCGUAGGUAACCUGCCUGGUAGCGGGGGAUAACUAUUGGAAACGAUAGCUAAUACCGCAUAAAAUUGAUUAUUGCAUGAUAAUUAAUUGAAAGAUGCAACUGCAUCACUACCAGAUGGACCUGCGUUGUAUUAGCUAGUUGGUGAGGUAACGGCUCACCAAGGCGACGAUACAUAGCCGACCUGAGAGGGUGAUCGGCCACACUGGGACUGAGACACGGCCCAGACUCCUACGGGAGGCAGCAGUAGGGAAUCUUCGGCAAUGGGGGGAACCCUGACCGAGCAACGCCGCGUAAGUGAAGAAGGUUUUCGGAUCGUAAAGCUCUGUUGUAAGAGAAGAACGGGUGUGAGAGUGGAAAGUUCACACUGUGACGGUAUCUUACCAGAAAGGGACGGCUAACUACGUG
rnacentral:rRNA from 1 species